UUGACCUCGGAUCAGGUAGGGAUACCCGCUGAACUUAAGCAUAUCAAUAAGCGGAGGAAAAGAAACCAACAGGGAUUGCCUCAGUAACGGCGAGUGAAGCGGCAACAGCUCAAAUUUGAAAUCUGGCUCUUUUAGGGUCCGAGUUGUAAUUUGUAGAAGAUGCUUUGGGAACGGUUCCGGUCUAAGUUCCUUGGAACAGGACGUCAUAGAGGGUGAGAAUCCCGUAUGCGACUGGUCGCCUGCCCCGUGUAAAGCUCUUUCGACGAGUCGAGUUGUUUGGGAAUGCAGCUCAAAAUGGGUGGUAAAUUUCAUCUAAAGCUAAAUAUUGGCCAGAGACCGAUAGCGCACAAGUAGAGUGAUCGAAAGAUGAAAAGCACUUUGGAAAGAGAGUUAAACAGUACGUGAAAUUGUUGAAAGGGAAGCGCUUGCAACCAGACUUGCACGUAGUUAAUCAUCUGGUGUUCUCACCGGUGCACUUGGCUAUGUUCAGGCCAGCAUCGGUUCAGGUGGUGGGAUAAAGGCCUUGGGAAUGUAGCUUCUUUCGGGGAGUGUUAUAGCCCUCGGUGCAAUGCCGCCUACCUGGACCGAGG
rnacentral:rRNA from 1 species